AUGCCCGUUACCAAGCUGGUCCACCUUGUCAAGAACAUGAAGAUCAAGUCCCUGGAGGAGAUGGAUCUCUUCUCCCUGCCAUCAAGGUGUCUGAGAUCAUUGACUUUUUCUUGAGGGGCCUCUCUCAAGGGUGAGGUUUUGAAGAUUAUGUGCAGAAGCAGAUUCGCGCAGGCCAGUACACCAGAUUCAAGGUGUUUGUUGCCAUCCGGGACUACAGUGGCCACUUUGAUCUGGGUGUUAAGUGCUCCAAGGUGGUGGCCACUGCCAUCUGUGGGACCAUCAACAUAGCCAAGCUCUCCAUUGUCCCCAUGUGCAGAGGCUACUGAGGAAACAAGAUCGGUGAGCUCCACACUGUCCUUUGCAAGGUGACAGGCUGCUGCUGCUCUGUGCUGGUGCGCCCAGGGGCACUGGCAUCAUCUCGGCGCCCAUGCCCAAUUUGCUGCUGUUGAUGGUUGAUAUCGAUGACUGCUACCCCUCAGCCAGGGGCUGCACUGACCCCUGGGCAACUUCGCCAAGGCCACCUUUGAUGCCAUCUCUAAAACCUACAGCUACCUGACCCCCGACCUCUGGAAGGAGACUGUAUUCACCAAGUCUUCCUAUCUGGAAUUCACUGACCACUUCAUCAAGACGUACACGAAAGUAUCCAUACAGAGGAUCCAGGCUCCAGCUGUGGCUACAUGA